rnacentral:tRNA from 1 species
UUUAAAUAGUUUAAUUAAAAUAUCAGUUUGUGGGACUGAUGAUAUUGUGUUAUUUUAAAUUA